CCUACGGGGGGCAGCAGUGGGGAAUAUUGCACAACGGGCGCAAGCCUGAUGCAGCCAUGCCGCGUGUGUGAAGAAGGCCUCCGGGUUGUAAAGCACUUUCAGCGGGGAGGAAGGCGUUAAGGUUAAUAACCUUGGCGAUUGACGUUACCCGCAGAAGAAGCACCGGCUAACUCCGUGCCAGCAGCCGCGGUAAUACGGAGGGUGCAAGCGUUAAUCGGAAUUACUGGGCGUAAAGCGCACGCAGGCGGUCUGUCAAGUCGGAUGUGAAAUCCCCGGGCUCAACCUGGGAACUGCAUUCGAAACUGGCAGGCUAGAGUCUUGUAGAGGGGGGUAGAAUUCCAGGUGUAGCGGUGAAAUGCGUAGAGAUCUGGAGGAAUACCGGUGGCGAAGGCGGCCCCCUGGACAAAGACUGACGCUCAGGUGCGAAAGCGUGGGGAGCAAACAGGAUUAGAUACCUGGUAGUC
rnacentral:rRNA from 1 species